GAGAGAACUACAUCUCCCGUCAGGCAGCGGGAGGAAGGUUGUCAAAGCUUAGGGAAGGGGCUCUGGGCUACCUGGGAUUUCCCAGAGUCGCCAGGUCCCCACUUUGAGGAUGGAGCUGUCGCGGGGAGCCAGCGCCCCAGACCCGGACGAUGUCCGGCCUCUCAAACCGUGUCUGCUACGCCGCAACCACAGCCGCGAUCAGCACGGCGUGGCAGCCUCCAGUCUCGAGGAGCUGAGGAGCAAAGCCUGUGAACUCCUGGCCAUUGAUAAGUCCCUGACGCCGAUCACCCUGGUCCUGGCUGAGGACGGGACCAUAAUGGAGGGACGGCUUGGGUUUCCCAAGAGUCCUUUGAGGCAGAUGAGCCGGACAGCAGGGCAGGGGUGAAGUGGAAGAAUGUGGCCAGGCCUGCACCACGGAGCUCGCCCUGCGGCUGCAGCAAGUGCAGAGCUUGCAUUCACUCAGGAAUCUAUCAGCAAGGAGGAGCCCACUGCCUGGGGAACCACAGCGACCCAAACGAGCCAAACGAGACUCCUCGUAGCCAAACCGGAGAAGACGGGCUUUGCUGUCAGUAACUUUCCAUGGUCCUGUUACCGCCCACACUCCCCCCUCACCCACCUCCUGCCCCAUGUGUGCUCUUCUAGCUCCAGGAAAGCGGUUCAGGGCUGUGCAUGUGCCUCUCUACCUCCUUUACUGUACUGGGAUUUCCGUUUUGUUUUCUUACCUGUGGAAGUGUUUUGCCUGCGUGUAUAUCUGUGUACCUCAUGUCCAUGAAGGCCAGAAGACAGUGUCAGGUCCCCUGGAACUGGAGUUACAGACAGCUCUCAGCAGCCAUGUGGGUGCUGGGAAUUGACUCUGGCUGUUCUGGAAGCCUGGCCAGUGCUCCUAACCACUGAGCCAUCUCUCCAGCUCCCGGAAUGUGCUUAGCAUGUGUUAGGCCUUAGGUUCCAAGUGAAAGUUCUGGUCAAGGGCAGUGAAAACCUCUCAUAUAGUUAGGACUUGAUGUCCUCACUCUCCAACUUGAACAAUAGAGUUUUAGACACACAAGGGUAGAGAAAAGGCGCCCAGCAGCAACAAUUGUGGCCAUGAACUUCUCAAGCUAAUAAAUGCAGUUGCUGUUUGCUUAAAGGCACACACUGCAUUUGGGGACCCCAGGGACACGGAGUCUAACCCACGGCAUCUAAUAUCUGACUCAGUGGUGUAAAGCUGUUACCACUGUGAAACUCCGUUCCAUUUUCUAAUAUGUUUUGCCAGCAGGGGUUAGAAAGAGUCAUUAAAUGAGCCCAUGCAAUGCGACUCAGGUUGCUGUCUGCAGACCAGAGCACUUCUAGUUUUUCUCCGCUGUUUCUGCUCAGAGUUCUGCAACUUCUGCAAUCUCUAGUGCUGUCUGCUUUCAGGGAAAAGGCGCCUAGUUACGGGUCAUGUGACUUACACAUGUUGGGAGAAGACUGCUAUCAAGAGUCUCCAGCCCACUUCUUGUGUGUGCGUGCGUGCGUGCAUCUGUGUGUCUGUGUGUGUGUGUGUUCUGGGCACUGAGGAUUGAGCUAGGGCUUCAUUCAUAGAUGCUGUACACGUGCUCCCUAAUGAACCACACCCCAGCCUCACAUUGACAAGGAAAUGCAGCACUGAGUGUCGGGGUGAAGGUGGGGUGCACAGAGCAGAUUAACAUGAUUGACCUGCCUCCUCCUACAGCGGGAGGCAGAUCUGUCGGCAGGCAGCUUUUACAUCCUGUAGUGCCUGAUAGCACCAGUUCCAAAUAUUGGUAUCAACAGCUCCUCCCACAUCUUCGUGGUACCUCAAUCCUUAAAUAAAAGCCAUUGCUGAUAUUAAUGCCAGUAGUCCCCUCCCCGAUCCUCGCAGUGCCUCGAAAUCCUUAAAUAAAAGCCAUGGUUGAUCAUCCAGC
rnacentral:lncRNA from 1 species